AUCCGCGGAGGCGCGGCGGGCGGGGCGGGCCGGGCCGGGCCGGGGCGGGCGCAGCGGGGCCGGGGCCGGGCAGGGCCGGGCAGGGCCGGGCCGGGCCGGGCCCGCCCCUCCGCGCCCCCCGCGGGCCGGGCCGGGCCGCCGCGGCCGCGUGUGGGGGGCGGCGCGGCUGCUGCGCCGCGGCUCGAGCAGCGCCGCGCCCCCGCUGCCGGAGCCGCCGCUCCGCCGCCGGCCCCGCGCUCCGCCGGCAUGAUCUCCUGAGGGGCCCAGCCCGCCCCGGCCCGGGUUUGGCAGAUUGGGUGCGGAGAAUUACCAUGAAUGCAGAAGAGCAGUGCUGGGAUCACAUCCAGGGAUGUGUUGCCCACUGCUGGGAUGAAGCAAGAUUUGCUGUGACCUCCCAGCAGGUGAAAUGCUGCUGUAGUGGCCUCACCUCCUCCUUGCAUGGAAGCCAUGGUUUUCCCUGGUCAGUCACAAGCUGAGGUUCUGGUUUCACCAGCCUGGAGUUGAGCCGUGGUGUCGGCAGCCCCAGCCCGGCUCAGUCCGCAUCUCUGUGGGCAAGGAGGGAGCAGGAGGCUGAGCACAUCUCUCUGCCCGUUCCUUGCUUUUUUCUGCUCUUAGCCUGAGAAAUAAAGUUUGUUC
rnacentral:lncRNA from 1 species